GUUGUAUUAUAAACUUUUAUAUAUUUCAACAUGAACAAUAUAUAUUCAUUGUUUAGAAUAUUAUUAUUCCAUGACAGAGCUCGAAGCAUAGAAUCAUAAAAUACAUUUAUUUAAAAAGUUUAAAUAAGUAGAAUUAUUCACUCUUCUUAUAAGCUUAUAGGUUCCCUUCAAGACAAAUUCCUGCAAAAUUGAAUAAUUUGAAUGUUAAUGAAAAUAAAUAAAAAUUAAUAAAAUAAAAGGUUUAAUGAGGAAGAGAUAAGUGAGUAAUUAAUAAAUAAUAAAAAUGAAAAUACCUUCGUUUUGAUCUAAUGAUUACAAACGCAGUAACCAUCAAAACACUUAACAACUGAUGCUCCACAAGGAAGAGCACGAAUGUUCUUAAGACAGUCUUGCUUUGUUUGACAUGCAACCACAACUAUAUCACUUCCCUCUGUGUUUUCUUCCAUCGAAAAUGAAUUCCCUAAAACAUCAAAUUUUAUGUUUUUAUUCUGUUUUUUUAUCAACAAUAAAUAAAUAAAAUAAAAGAGACACUUCAUCGGUGUCCCAACUCUUAUAAAAAAAACUCAGACCAAACUUCUUAACACCCAACUAACUGAAGAUUCAACAUACUCUACAAAACAUCAACAAGAGUGAUAUAGACAUGACGAGACUGAUAUAAGACAUGAUCAGAUCAGAUCAUAAUACAAUUACAUCAUCCCUCCAAGACACGUUCUUACAAAAUAAGACAGAAUAAAUAUCACCCUACAUCAUUCUCCAACAAUUAAAUAGAAUUUUUGCAAGCGAGCAAAAACAAAUCAAACACCCAAAAGCGAUAAAUAUCAAACAAAACCUGCAAUAAUGAAAAAAAAGGGAUAAAUGAAUAUACCAACACAAACUUCCAUGGCAAGAAUUACAAACACAACUGCCAAUAGUAAACUCUUCUUCGACAUAUCUUCUCCAACCUGCAAUCUCAAUAUAUGAUGAUACAAUUCAAAGCUGAGAACUUUGUAUGUAUGAUAAUUUUGUGCUUCUUAGGCUCAAACUUUGUCCUAUUUAUACAAGAGGAAAAGAUUAUUUUAAUAUUAUAAUUAUAUUAUAAAAUAUUAUAAAAUAAAAUCUUAAUUUAUUUAUUUAUAAAUAUUAUUACACUACACAUUCUUUUUAUAUAUAAAAAGUUUUCAUGCUAGGCAUCACUAUGGAACUAGACAUCUCAGCUAGGCUGACACCUCAAUUAAUAACAAUCAUCUGCCAUCACAUGAAAAUAUUACAUUACACAUUUUUAAGACUUUUAAACUUUUACUUUUAUAUAUAAUAUAUAAUACAAAUAUAGUAAAAAUUCAAUAAUGUUUAACACUGAUUUAGAAUAUAAAGAAGUUGGUAUGUAAAACUUGGUAAGUAAUAUAAAUAUCAAUUUAAAAAUUAAUUUAUAAUUUUUUAUUAAUAAUAGACAUUACUGUAGAUAUCAAUAAUUUUUUAGUUUAUAAAAUAUUAUUUAAAUUAAUCAAUAUAAUAAUUAAUUAUUUUUAUCUUUAAAAUUAAUUUUAAUAGUUGUUUUAAAAUAAAUUCUUUUCUAAUUUUUAUGACCAUAAUCUUAAUUAAAAUUCAUAAUAUUUAAUGUUAUAUUAAGUUAACGUACUUUAGCAAGGAAAUUUUAUAAAACUUAAAUCUUCAAUUUAUAAUUUUAUAUACAAUAUAUAGAAUACAAAUGUCAUAAACACUUCAAUUUUUUCCCUACAUUUAAUUAGAACAACUGUGUUAUUUGAUAUAGUUUAAUAUUAUGUUAUUAAAUAUUAAAUUUGUAAUCAAUGCUUUUUUCCCACUUUCCUAAAUCUCUUAUUUUUGUUACUUGUAUUUUAUCGUAUUUUAUCUACCUCAUAAUCACAUCCUAUAUUAGAGAUUAUUUCUCUCAAAUCAUAUUUUUUAAACAGAGUAAGUUCAUCUUUACUUUAAAUAAUUGUUUAGAAAUUGUGUUAUUGAAAUUUUUUAAAAUAUUUAAAAACACAUUUGAUUAUGCUAUAGACAUUGAUUUUCUGAUUUUAAGAUAUAAUAAUUUUUUAUUAUAUAAUUAAAAAAUUACUGAAUUUUUAGAAAAUAACUUCUUAUUAUAUAUAAUUAAAAAAAUGAAUACAUUAAAAUUAUUUUAAAUUUUUAAUAAAAUUAAUGAUGUAAUACUUUAAUAAUAUAAAAUAAUAUAAGUUAAUAUUUUUAAAUAGACAACUUAUAUUAUUUAUAUUAUUAAAGUAUUAUAUAUAAUAACUUAAAAUAAUUAACUUAUAUAAAGGAGAAAUUAGAUAUUCAAAUUUAAAUUAAAUUAAAAAGAAUAAACAAUGAUAAAGAAGUUUAUUUUUUACACUUAAAUAUAAUAUAUUAAUAUAAAAAUUAAACAAAAAAUAUAACAUUUUUAGCAUCAACUCGAGUGUGUUCAAAUCGUAAUUAUUCAGAUUUCAAAAGUUUUAUGGUAAAUCUCAAUGGCAUUGUAAAUUAAUAUCAAGUUAUUUCUAACUAAUUCUACUUAUUUGGUAUAUAACAUUUCAUCCCAUUAACUUAAUUUCACUCUUAUUGAUGUUCAAAACAUAAUUAUCAAUCCAAGAAACAUCAAUUAGUUCUUACAUAAUUAUCCUCUUUUGUAAAAAGCAAUGCAGAUAUUAAAAAUAUGGUGCAAAUGGUAGAAGUGGGGUGAAAAUAUUAAUAGUAGGACUGAUUCUUCCUACACCUCCAUACGUUUUGGUGUCACCCCAUAAAUUUUUGUAUUCCAAUUAUAUCGUUUUUUAAUAUUCUGGAUUACAUAAUCCACAAGUAUUUUUCUAUAUUUGUAAUUAGCUUCCGGAUUAUGUAAUUUGGAAGUCUUUUGAGAUUAGCUUCCAGAUUACAUAAUCCAGAAGUCUUUUCUAUACAUGGGAUUAUCUUCUACAUUACAUAAUUUGGAAGUCUUUUCUAGAUUUCAAAUAUUCUAGAUUUGAUAUUGGCUUUUGGAUUACGUAAUCCAAAAAUCUCUUUUCAAAUGCGUGAUUAGUUUUAGUAUGUAUAAGUAUGUCUUCAUUAUCAUGCAUAUUAAUUUUAGUCAAAGUUGUUUCUAAGUCUUUAAUGACUUCGUAUACAAAAGCUAUAUUCAUUAUUUAUCACGUGAUAUAUUUAUUUUUAUUUACCUAACUCAAAGUACUAUUACAACUUCAAUAUCUUACCAAAUUACUAAUUAAUACUUACAAUUUUCAUUAAAAAAGUUCAAUGCUAAUUUUACUUUAUUUUAUUUCAUAAUCUUUAAUUAAAAAAAUUAAUAUAUAAUUAUUUCCUUUAUUUGAUUACUGAAUAGUAAAAAUGUUCAUAUUAAAAAGGGAAAUAGAGAUACUUAUGUUGUAUUAAUCACUUUUAUAUAUUUCAACAUGAACAAUAUACUUGUUCAUUGUUUCAGAAUAUUAUUAUUCUAUGACAAAGCUUGAAGCAUAGAACCAUAAAAUACAUUUAUUUAAAAAGUUUAAAUAAGUAGAAUCAUUCACUCCUCUUAUAAGCUUAUAGAAUCCCUUCAAGACAAAUUACCUGCAAAAUUAAAUAAUUUGAAAGUUAAUGAAAAUAAAAAAUAAAAUAAAAAAUAAAGGGUUUAAUGGGGAAGAGAUAAGUGAGUAAUUAAUAAAUAAUGAAAAUGAAAAUACCUUUGUUUUGAUCUAAUGAUUACAAACGCAGUAACCAUCAGAACACUUAACAACUGAUGCUCCACAAGGAAGAGCACGAAUGUUCUUAAGACAGUCUUGCUUUGUUUGACAUGCAACCACAACUAUAUCACUUCCCUCUGUGUUUUCUUCCAUCGAAAAUGAAUGCCCUACAAAACAUACAAUUUCGUGUUUAUAAAACAUUUUUUAUCAAUAAUAAAUAAAUAAAAUAAAUGAGACACUUCACGGAUGUUCCAACUCUUAUAUAAAAAAACACAUAUCAAACUUCUUAACACCCAAGUAAGUGAAGAUUCAUCAUACUCUACAAAACAUCAACAAAAGUGAUAUAUACAUGACAAGACUGAUAUAAGGCAUGAUCAGAUCAUAUCAGAAUACAAUUACGUCAUCCCUCCAAAGAAGACACGUUCUCACAAUAAGACAGAACAAAUACCACCAUAUACCAUUCUCCAACAACUGAAUAUAAUUUUUUGCGAGGGAGAAAAAUAAAUCAAACACCCAAAAGCCAUAAAUAUAAAAAAAAUCUGCAACAAUGCAACAAAAAUUAAGUUUCAUUGAUGAAGGGAUAAAUCAAUAUACCAACACAAACUUCCAUGGCAAGAAUUACAAACACAACUGCCAAUACUAAACUCUUCUUCGACAUAGCUUCUCCAACCUACAAUCUCAAUAUAUGAUGAUAAAAUUCAAAAUUGAGAACUUUGUAUGAAUGAUAAUUGUGUGCUUCUUAGACUCAAACUUUGUUCUAUUUAUACAAGAGGAAAAGAUGAUUUUAAUAUUAUAAAAUCUUAAUUUACUUUUUUUUAAAAAUAUUAUUACACUACACAUUUUUAAGACUUUUAAACUUUUAGUUUUAUAUAUAAUAUAUAUAAUACAAAUACAGUAAAAAUUCAAUAAUGUUUUAUUAAUAAUACACAUUAACGUAGAUAUCAAUAAUUUUUUAGUUUACAAAAUAGUAUUUAAAUUAAUUAAUAUAAUAAUUAAUUAUUUUUAUUUUUAAAAUUAAUUUUAAAAGUUGUUUUAAAAUAAAUUCUUUUUUAGUUUUUAUGACCAUAAUCUUAAUUAAAAUUCAUAAUAUUUAUUGUUAUAUUAAGUUAACGUACUCUAACAAGGAAAUUUUAUAAAACUCAAAUCUUCAAUUUAUAAUUUUAUAUACAAUAUAUAGAAUACAAAUGUCAUAAACACUCCAAUUUUUUCCCUACAUUUAAUUAGAACUACUGUAUUAUUUAAUAUAGUUUAAUAUUAUGUUAUUAAAUAUUAAAUUUGUAAUCAAUGCCCUUUUUCCACUCUCCUAAAUUUCUUUUUCUUGUUAUUUCUUCAUGUUUUAUCUACCUCAUAAUCACAUCCUAUAUUAAUUAGAGAUUAUUUCUCUCAAAUCAUAUUUUCAAAAAAGUAAGUUCAUGUUUACUUUAAAUAAUUAUUUAGAAAUUGUGUUAUUGAAAUUUUUUAAAAUAUUUAAUAACACAUUUGAUUAUGCUAGAGAUUUUAUGAUAUAAUAAUUUUUUACUUUAUAAUUAAAAAAUAGUGAAUUUUUAGAAAAUAACUUUUUAUUAUAUAUAAUUAAAAAAAUGAAUACAUUAAAAUUAUUUUAAAUUUUUAAUAAAAUUAAUGAUGUAAUACUUUAAUAAUAUAAGUUAAUAUUUUAAAAUAGUCAACUUAUAUUAUUUUAAAUUAUUAAAGUAUUAUAUAUAAUAACUUAAAAUAAUUAACUUAAAAUAGUUAAGUGAACAUAAUUAACUUAUAUAAAGGAGAAAUUAGAUAUUCAAAUUUAAAUUACAUUAAAAGGAAUAAACAAUGAUAAAGAAGUUUAUUUUUUACACUUAAAUAUAUUAUAUUAAUAUUGUUGGGUAUGAAGUCAAAACCAAUUGGGUUGGGCUGAAACAGUUGAAGCGUAGGUGAACAUUAUUCCGUGACUUCAAGUGGAGAUUGUUGGGUAUGAAGUCAUGACCAAUUGGGUUGGGUUGAGCAGACACCAUGUUUUAGUGAGUGGGUUUAAUCAUUAUGUCCCUUUAUUAUCUCUAUUUAUCUAUAUUUAAAGAGAUAAUUGUACUUGUAAUUGGUACGCAACAGGAAAGAAAUGGAUGUAGGUUGCAGUUGGCGAUCGAACCACGUUAAAUCUUGUGUCGUUUAUUUUUCUGCGGUUGAUUGGUGGUUGUGUAUUGCUUUUCGCGUGCGUUUUUUCCCAUCAAAUAUAAAAAUUAAACAAAAAUAUAAAAAUUUUGGCGUCAUUUCGAGUGUGUUCAAAUUGUAAUUAUUCGGAUUUCAAAAGUUUUAUGGUAAAUGCCAAUGGUAUUGUAAAUUAAUAUCAAGUUAUUUCUAACUAAUUCUACUUAUUUGGUAUAUAACAUUUCAUCCCAUUAACUUAAUUUCACUCUUAUUGAUGUUCAAAACAUCAUUAUCAAUCCAAGAAACAUCAAUUAGUUCUUACAUAAUUAUCCUCUUUUGUAAAAAGCGAUGCAAAUAUUAAAAAUAUGGUGCAAAUGGUAGGAGCGGGGUGAAAAUAUUAAUAGUAUGACUGUUUCUUCCUACACCUCCAUACGUUUUUGUGUCACCCCAUAAAUUUUUGUAUUAAAAAAAUAUCUUUUUUUUUAAUAUUCUGGAUUACAUAAUCCACAAGUAUUUUUUUUAUAUUUGUAAUUAGUUUCUGGAUUAUGUAAUUUGGAAGUCUUUUGAGAUUACUUUCUAGAUUACAUAAUCCAUAAGUCUUUUCUAUACAUGAGAUUAUCUUCUGCAUUACAUAACUUAGAAGUCUUUUGUAGAUUUCAGAUUUUCUAGAUUUGAUAUUGGCUUUUGGAUUACGUAAUCCAAAAAUCUUUUUUCAAAUGUGUGAUUAGUUUUAGUAUGUCUGAUAAGUAUGUCUUCAUUAUCAUGCAUAUUAAUUUUAGUCAAAGUUGUUUCCAAGUCUUUAAUGACUUCCAUAUAAUUAGUAUACAAAAGCUAUAUCCAUUAUUUAUCACAUGAUAUAUUUAUUUUUAUUUACCUAACUCAAAGUACUAUUACAACUUCAAUAUCUUACCAAAUUACUAAUUAAUACUUACAAUUUUCAUUAAAAAAGUUCAAUGCUAAUUUUACUUUAUUUUAUUUGAUAAUCUUUAAUUAAAAAAUUAUAUAUAAUUAUUCCUUUAUUUGAUUACUGAAUAGCAAAAAUGUUCAUAUUAAAAAGGGAAAUAGAGAUACUUAUGUUGUAUUAAUCACUUUUAUAUAUUUCAACAUGAACAAUGUAUUUGUUCAUUGUUUCGGAAUAUUAUUAUUCUAUGACAGAGCUUGAAGCAUAGAACCAUAAAAUACAUUUAUUAAAAAGUUUAAAUAAGUAGAAUCAUUCACUCCUCUUAUAAGCUUAUAGAUUCCCUUCAAGACAAAUUACCUGCAA
rnacentral:lncRNA from 1 species